GUAUGUGGAUGGAACUCCGUCCGGAUUUGAGAUGGUUCUUGUUGAGUUGCUGGGGUGGAUCCUCCUGCCUCAGCCUCCCAAGUAGCUGGGAUUACAUUUGUUUGCCACCAUGCCUGGCUCAAAUGUGUUUCAUUUUGAUGAAAUUUAUUUUUCAAGUUUUUCUUUCAUUCGUUGCUUAUGUUGUGGCCGUAUGCAGAAAAUGCUUCCCAGCCUGAGGUCACAAAUACUUAAGCUUUGUUCCUUCAUGAAGUUUUAUCAUUUUAGUUUUUAUAUAAGUCUUGAGAUCCAUUGUACCUCAGUGGUGGUUGUGGAGGGAGCAUGUGGAUUCCUGGCUCUGCAUGUGGAGGACCAGCUCCCUGUUAAAAGACCUUCUGUUUCCACGCAUCUCGCUCAUGCCUUCUGCUUCCCACCCUCCAUCGGGUUUCUAGGACUAUGAUGCUGGCAUUUCCACUCCCACAGCUCUGCCUUUCAUGGAGGCUUAAAGUUCGAUUUUAUUUAUUUACGAUGUUAGAGAAAUGAAGAUGUAAGUAUGCUGCUGCUUUGCUUUUCUGGCUUUUUCCAUGUGGUUGAGUUGAGUUUUGCAGUUUAUUUUUCAGAUCCGAGUCUCAUGUCCAUCAUGUUAUUAUUACCUGCUUUCUUGCCUUGGUCCAUUUCUAGAGCAAAGCCAUUUUUGAUUAUUUAAGAUGAUAGCUCUUCCUGAUUAGAUUUCAGUUUUGUUGGAACCAUGUUUUGUUUUUCUGCAUCUGUGCUAAUUUUCUUCAAUUUCAAAGUCAAGCAACUUCAACUUUUAAAUAUAAUUUUCACUUAGAAACCUAGUGCAUCGUCACUGGCAGUGUGGUCUGCACCGUGCGUGGCAUCUGGGAAGCACCAAAGUGCAUGCACGAGGUUUGCUUAUUAAGGAAAGUGAGUAGACUGCCAUGGGGUGUGAGUGGGCACAGACUCUUCAGUUGUAUAAAGCACAGUCUUCCCGUCUUAGCACAGUAGUGGCCUUCCUGGGUUUGACCCCUUGCAGGUGAUGGGAAGCAGUUGUCACUUUUUUCUCAGUCUCUGGUGUUGCAGAGCCUGCCUGUGGAUCUUUCACUCUGCUUUCAGAUCACUCAACAAAUAUCUUAAAUAGUUAAUUUCAGAUUUAAUAUUCCAUCAGGCCAGGUGUGGCAGACACCUGUAAUCCCAGUGGCUCCAGAGGCUAAGGUAGAAGGAUCAAAAGUUCAAGGCCAGCCUCAGCAACUUAGCAAGGCU
rnacentral:lncRNA from 1 species